CUCACUAAUGACACGCGCUGUGCCUCCCUCACUCCGCGCCGCUUCCUCGGCGAACGCGCAGCUCCAACCACGACAAAACUGACGGAGUGACGAAAAGUUUUGCCAGACAGAGAAAGAAACUUUCUGUAACAAGGUGACAGCACUCGAGGCAGGCAGCUGUCCAGUCUGCGGACCGUCUCCAGAGAGAGAAAGGGAGGACAGGAAAUAGAGAGGAAAGACACACAGAGCGCGCGCGAGAGAGAGAAAGGAGGAAAACGGAGUACCCAGAGGAAACCCCUGAAGCACGGGGAGAGCAUGCAAACUCCACACACACAGGGUGAAGGCGGAAAUCGAACCCCCAACCCUGGACGUGCGAGGCAAACGUGUUAAUCACGAAGCCACUGCAUUUCAGAAGAUCCAGUGUUGCUUCUGGAGAAGCUCGAGAUGUCACACAUGGCAUUGAUGUUUGUUGAGAUGGAAAUGAGACCUUUUAGCUGUAUUCAUGUUUGACGCACACGAAUUGAAGAGGGCGUUGGCUGAAUAUGCGCGAAGAUGUCACAUGAGGCAUCUUGGCCCAAAUUUGUGAAAAAAUCUGUGGUGAUGUAGAACAUUCACUGUAUGGUCAUGUGUGCCUGGAUGAUGUCCAUAGACAACCACUCCCAUUUGAGGAAACCUAAAACCUAAACAAUACUAGUCUGCCAUCACUUUAUUGGUUUGACCCGGACUGGGUCGUAACAUCAGAGUCUCUCAGGCAGAACAGACACAACAUGCCAAAGCAGCCAUUUACCUAACAGAAAAAUGACUUUCAAAAGCCACCACUGCGCCCUGGCUCUCCUUUAAAGCCACAUUUGACAAGGAUCUCAUUUGAUGCUCAAUAUUGCCGUCAUCAAACAGUCAGCCAUCUCAGCCAACCUGUUCAUCAUAGCAGCAUCACUUUUGCACUGCAGUUCGAUUACGGCCCUUGAGGACAUUUUGCUCCUAUAGAUACUACACAGGAAGUGCGAAGAAUGGAGAUCUUUGGAGCUUCUUUUUCUGUUGAUUAAAAUGAGAAUUUAUGCAAGGAUUUGUGUAUAAACUUUAAUGCACAUAGGACACAUGUCUGUUCAUUACUGAGAGUCUCACAAUAAAAUGUACUAUAUUAACAGUUCAGUGCAACAAUGAUAAAGUUGUAUGAAAA
ensembl:lncRNA